rnacentral:lncRNA from 1 species
GAAACUACCCUGCUUUUCCCCCAGUUUUGGUCUGUGAACACAUUUGGGAAAUUCUUCUGAUCCUACCGCUACUCUCUUGAGAGAGAGAAACAAGGGGAAAAAAAGUUAAUUGCCUGAGGAUACACUGCUAGUGUUGCGGGACAAAUAGAGACGGGAGAGGCCAAACAGAAUUCAGGAGAACCCUUUAUUAUUAAGCGCGCUAGGGAGGGAAGCAGGAACUCGUGGUGCCUCAAGGAACGUGAAACGGUGGAACACAGAUAAGCCUCUCCAUGAAGAAACAGCUCAGAUUUGACCAAGAUCACACAAGUAGGAGUUGAGGAAUUGGAACCCACUAUGACUGACUCCAAAUUAAUAUAGUGUUUAUAGCCACUUACA